rnacentral:rRNA from 1 species
AGCGAACGCUGGCGGCAGGCCUAACACAUGCAAGUCGAACGGACCCUUCGGGGUUAGUGGCGGACGGGUGAGUAACACGUGGGAACGUGCCUUUAGGUUCGGAAUAGCUCCUGGAAACGGGUGGUAAUGCCGAAUGUGCCCUUCGGGGGAAAGAUUUAUCGCCUUUAGAGCGGCCCGCGUCUGAUUAGCUAGUUGGUGAGGUAAAGGCUCACCAAGGCGACGAUCAGUAGAUGGUCUGGGAGGAUGACCAGCCACAUUGGGACUGAGACACGGCCCAAACUCCUACGGGAGGCAGCAGUGGGGAAUCUUGCGCAAUGGGCGAAAGCCUGACGCAGCCAUGCCGCGUGAAUGAUGAAGGUCUUAGGACUGUAAAAUUCUUUCACCGGGGACGAUAAUGACGGUACCCGGAGAAGAAGCCCCGGCUAACUUCGUGCCAGCCGCCGCGGUAACAC